CCCCUGCACAACCUCCUGCACGUCCAGCGAGUGAGCCACUCUGCUUCCAGCUGACAUACAUCUCCAGCCCUAGGUCUUAUGGAAUAUUCGAGAGCAUUUAAUUGGAUGUGCAGUCUGUGUUACCAGUAUCAUGGGAAGACAACUGGGCUGUCUGCCUCCUUCCUGGUUGCCUGAGUUGCUUCAGCCUGCAAAGAAAACAUUGUGGGACUUUGUUCAGAACAAUAAUUGAUAAGAGAUCAGGAGGCUCAGUGCCUGACAAGGAACAUGGAAUGGUUUAUUUGAUUGUCCUGCAGAUGACUGCAUUUGAGGACUAGCAAGGAGCCCACCUGGCUCACAGGAAAACAGGGUCCCAGGGUGAAGACUGUGGUAAGGAAAGAGGAAAGGACGAUCUGAGCGAUUUGAACACAGGGCCGCCUUUGAUUUCGGAGUCUGUGAUAACCUAUGGUCUCUCAGGAAAACAGGAUUUGCAGUAGCUCAUGAAAUGCCUUCACCAAGGCUGAACCAUCGCCUUCAGGACAUAGACUUGUGCUUUUUUUUUUUGUUGUUAAUGGUCUAGUAAUCAUGAAAGAAAGUUGCUCCUGCCUGAAUUUACCACAGCAGUAAUUCAGAAAGAUAUUUGCUUGAUGGAUUUAACUCUGUGCUUUCAGCUUGUAGCUGCUUUUAGUGUUUGGAACCAUCUGAUAACUGAAUUCAGAUUCUCAUCUUGAGAAUGGUUUGUAAGACAAUUGUGUUUGGCGCUCAUCGACAAAACUGUUAUGAAUCAAGCAAAUGUCAUUUUGCUAGAAAUUCUGGAGAAAAAGCAGGAAGAAAGUAACUGUUUAAGGAUUUUGGUUUUGGUUUUCGUUUUUUUAACUUUCAGAAUGAAACAAAAUUUUCUACAAAACUAGGAAUAAAAGCAAAUUUUUAAAAAUAAAAAAGGAACUCAGAAGCCAAGCCCCCAGAUUAGUAGUUCUGUACAGGCUUCCCUAAGGUUUCUAGGUUUGCAAGGAUGUGAAUGUUGAAUUAGGGUUUUCAGGCACUGCUGUCUCCUUGGUGGGGGGAUGGCUAGGACUGGAUCUCACUGAUAAUCAGAUCUCAAGACCAGAAAGUUCAACAUUUGCAGAUCUUCAAGCAGAUCCUAGAAGCUAAUCAAGCAAGCUGAAUGGAAAAAACAUGAACAUUUAGCAGAGCCCACCUGUAUUUUCUUAGAAGCUCAUCAAAAGCAAUAUGUUUCCACGUAACAUUUUGCUUUUUGUGAAUCAGCGUUUUCUGAUUAAAUUAUAUUUCAUUGCAAAAUAACUGCUCCAUCAAUGUAUAAUCUGGCACGCGCAAUAAAAAAAUGAAAAGGGUUGGGGGUGAAUUGGAACAGGGACCUCCAGAUCUGGAUAUACUGCUUAAACUGAAAGACUGCAAAAUGAAGGGCUAUCAUAAACUCCUGUGUGUGUUCGAACCCUCAGAGGGAGACAAUAAUUAAAUGCAUGUUACAUGUUUCUUUUCCUGACUGAUAAAAUGUCAGGCUUUGAAUUAGCUUGACAAUGACAAUAGUUAUGAUUCAGAAAUGGAAAUUUGCUUUUCAUUAUUAAGAAAACCACUGUUCUCCAACACUCACUUAAAAGUAGCUAUUUCUAGAAACACGUCUGCCAUUAA